CACAAAGGACACGUAAAAACCCCUCGGGGCAGGAGGAAAUGACUCAGCACAACAGCCCUGGCCCUUCUAAUGGGAUCUGGGCUUCAAUCCUGCACUAAGUGAGUGUCUCCAUGUGUUCUCCACACUCCUCCCCCUCGUGCCUGCUCUUUAAAAGUCCCAACAUCAGCCCAUUCAUACAACUCCUCACGCCUUGUGCCUGUCCCUGAACCAGCCCUGAGCUUUCUCCUGGCCCUUCCCUGGGGCUCUUUGUGCUGCUCUUCCCGAGUUCUCAACUUGCAAAGCCCUUCCAGGACUCCUUUGGCUGAUCCUGCCUUUCCAGGUGGCCUCUCCUCGUCGUCGCUGCCCUUGGAGCUGCAUCCCCUCAGCAGAGAACAGAAACCCAGGGUCUGCCCAGCUCAGAGUCCUCUUCACUUCACAGUCACCACUCCAGAUUACAGAGAGAGAAGCAAAAAAAAUAUCACUGCUAAUAUUCCUGUUAUCCAUAUCCACGUGUGCUGGGCUCCUCUUAAUCUCUGGAUUCCAUCUGUGGGAUUCACAUAAAAUAUUGUUACUACGUGGUGAGG